UUUCUUCUUUAUCCUUUUCUAUAUUUCCCAUAUUUUUGCAAAAAGCAUGAUAAUCAGAGACUAAGCUUUUAUAUUCAGAAAAAUAGGGGUUUUUAUUUAGAAUGAGGAUUUCUGUUUUCCUUAAUCUCUCUUACUCUUAUGACCACACAUCUUCUGAGAGUAACAGUUCUAAUACAUUCUAGUUUGCUUAGAGACAUUUGUCUUAGGCCAUUCUUUUCAGAAGAAGACAAAGCUUUGAAGUACACACAUACACACAGAGGACUGUCUUUGGUUGGUUUUCUGAGGUCUCUGCUUCCUUCAAGGUUUAUGAGGAAGUUUUCAAUUUCUCUCUUGUAACAACUGCAUUGGAAGGAAGAGAAGAACUCGAAUAGGGGAGAAGGAGUUCCCACAUACCGUCUGCUACAUGCAGGGCUGGGCCAGGGGUUUUAUAGCAUCCCAUUGUCUGUUAUAGGUGCAAUUAUUGCCACUCUACAAACAACAAGGAUCAUAGUCAAGUACGUUGAUGCGCACCUAGUUAAGUGCUGGAGACAGGAUUCACUCCAGGUCUAUUUGGCCCCAAAUCUCUGCUCAUUCAUCUACACUUCACUGCCUUCGAUCGUGAUCUAUCCACAUCCCGCAGCUCAGCAAAUUUGGGGAAGGUGAUCACUGGAAAUGCCUUGGCAUGCAAUAUGGAGUCCUGCCAAGAGUGGGCUGAGAGUCAAGAGAUUGUGUUCCAACACUGGCUGUGUCCAAGGUGCCGGAUGACUCUGGACAAGUUCAUUUUCUCACCGAUAGAAGCAGUGGCUGGGGCUAGUGGUUUCAGAAGGGCUUUCCUGCUCCUAACCUCUGGCUCCCUCAAUAUUCCUUCAUGUGUGUGUAAAUAGGGCUCUCAGCAAGCCAGUGCUACUCAUGCUGCUUCAAGGGAAAACAGAGUCCUUUAAACAGUUCCCUGUGAUUGCCUCACUCAGAACUCCUGAUAAAGUCAACCACAUUCACUGUGGCCUUGUUUACCAGCAAAAGACUGCUAGCAAUCCAAAUGCCUUGGAGAGAGGACUCGUUAAAUAAUCUAUGGCACAGCCGUACAAGAGAAUGCAGUGCAGAUGUGAAAAAGAAUUGGGGGGGUUUAUCCAGCACCUUCUACACUGGGCUUCCAGGAUACCACAUUCUUAUAUUUCCUCCCCCCUCCCUGGCUCUCCUGUCUCCGUCUCCUUCGCUGGCCCUUCCUCCUCUUCCCAACCUCUAAAUGUUAGAGGGACCCUGGGAUCAGUCCUGGCCUUCUCGCUACAUUCUCUCUCUGCAUUCAAUCUCUGAUGCUCAUCCAGGCCAGAGUUUAAAAUACCAUCUGAUGACACCCAAAUUUGUAUCUCCAGCCCUAUCCUAAGUGAUGCCUUUGAGACUCAUAGAUCCCAUUGCCUUCUGAAUAUUGGCCUUGGGACAUGAAACAGGCAUGCUGAGUUUAACACACCUGAGCCAGAAUGUGGCAAUCACCACACUAGCCCCUUCUUCCUCAUUUCCAUAAAUGGCUCCCCAUUUCAGUAAUGCAGUACAUUCACCCAGUCACUCAGGUCAAAAAUCAUGGAAUCGCUUCCAUUCCUCUCACUCAUAUCCCACAUCCUGUAGGCUCUACUCUCAAAAUACAAAUCUGCUGUUAGACCAAGCCACUGUCACCUGCUUGCAGAGAUGGCAGCAGCCACCUGGUCUCCCUCAAUUUCACUCUUGCACCUUGACAGUCUCUUCACCACACAGCUGCAGGAAGGAUCUUUAUAAAACAUUUAUCAGCUGGUAUGCCCCUACCCAAACCAUCCAACGGCUCCAUAUGUCACUUAGAAUAAAAACCAAACUCCUCACCACAGCCUCAGGGCCUCAUGGGCUGUGUCCCCUGCCUGCCUCUGUGACCUCCUCUCUGACCACAUGGCAGCCUCAUUCUGCCCCAGCCACACUGACCUCCUUCCUGUUCCUCUAGCAUGCCAGGCACACCCCACCCUGGAGCCUUUGUCCGUGGUGUUCCCUGGACCUGGAAAGACCAUGCCCCCUCCCUCAGCGGUCUUCAAACUUCUCCAGUUCACCUUGAUUUCUUCAAAUGGAGACCACCACAUCCUUGUUUUGUUUUUGUUCUGUUUUGUUUUGUCUUGUUUUGUGGGAGGAAGUUCCUUACCACUAAGACCAAAGACCAGAGUUUGAUUUUAUAUAAAUAAACUAUUCUGACAGGCUCCAGGAACAGUGGCUCCUCUGCGGAAGGACCCCUCUCCACUCCCCUCUGAAGGAAGCUCAGAGCUUUGCUAUCUCCAAGUUAACGUCUCCGCUGCUCUCCCAGUAUCUCCCGGGUGUAGACCUCCUGACUGCCAAUUCCAGGUUGCACAGUCUCAGAAUCAGGCAUCAUUAGCUUGUCCGACACCAUUCUUAAAGAACGGCUGGAAUAUGCCUUUCACUAAAGGUGAGGGGGCUAUUUCCCACCCCACUGCUUGUCCUUGGCCUUGCUCCACAGAACCUGAGACCCAAAGACAUAGCUCCCUUGUUUCACAGAUGAUGAAACAGAAGCCUAGAGAGUAAAGUACUUGUUCAAGGUUGCAUGGUGAGUUUAGGAAAGCACCAGGACUAAACGGCAGGUCCCCAGAUUCUCAGUUCUAGGCUCUUUCCAGGUAGAUCUUCAUCUGAGUCCACCUCAAUUAGGCUGCCCCUCAGCAACAUGCUUGCUUUUCAGGAGAACUGAGGCAAGAGGAGUGAGGAAGAGAACAGGUUCACAGCCAGAGCAGCUUCUGGAGGCUCUGAAGGGGCACUGACAUCUCUUGGAUAUUACGAGGACUUGGGGCCAGUCCAUGAGCACGCAUGGGACCUAGUGGGACACCCUGGAUGUUUUCUCAGACCUCAGCCUCCUUUGCAGACCACAGCAGACAUAAUUUCCCUCCCAUGCUCCAGAAUCAGGUGUGCUUUAGGUUGACUGCAGAAACCUCCUACCUUUAAAAAAGAAAAAGAAAGCAACGUAUUAUAAAAGCAGAGUACAUUAAAGCAACUCUUCUCUGUGAAAAUGCAUGAUCAUAGACAGAAGUGUUUAAGAAAACACCAAGGACAUGGGUUGAAUUGUUAGUGGAUUUUAUUCAUCAGAGAUUACGUACUCACACAGACUCUCAUAGUCAAAACGAGUGACAGGCUUUAGGAGUUACAGGUCUGAUAGGGAGAGAACCAAGAGGCAGCUUCAGAUGUAGCCUUCACUUAGUACCCCAAGAAAGUUGUCAAAGCUUUCCUAAGCACCGCUUAGGAAGGAGGCAAUGGUCUCAUACCAUCCAGGGCUGUGUGCAGAGAGAUCGCCUGCAGUGUGUGUGCUUUGCAACGCUGUGCUGAAGGUCUAUAUCCACGUGGCUGUGUCCUGGCCUCAUCAGACACAUACUUGGACUGUCCGGGUGGGGAACCUCCUCUGCGGGUCUUGCUGUGCUCAGAAUCACAGGUGUCUGAGCAGCUUCCUCUGGCGGCCUUAGCUAAGAAGCAUCUUUGGAAUUCUUCUGGGCUCGGCUCUAACUUCUGACAGCACUCAAACAGCUACUAAUAACAAACCAUAUUCUAACUCCCCAGCAAACUAGUAAUUAUUACUGCAAUUGCUAUUCUAGUAUUGAAAAAUUGAAAAUGGGGGGAACUUACAUUAUUGUAUUAUUUCAUAUUCCUACUUUAUAUUUUAUUAGUAACUCGUAACCAUUACAAAAUCAAACAAAAGUAAUAGCUACUACCUUUUGUUAAACACUUCCCUAUAUGCCAGCUGCCCAGUUAAUCAUGCGGCCUGAAUAUUUCAUUGACGCUCAAAACCACCUUAGGAUAAAAUAUGAUUAUCUCCAUUUUACAGAUAACAAAACAAAAAAGAAGUUCGGUAAGUUGCCAGUCACACAGCUAAUAAAUCAUGUCCACCUAAUUCCAAAGUUCUGGUUUUAACCACCAAGUUAUGGGACCUCCCAUUACUGAGUAUUUAGAGCACUUAUAGGAUGCUUUUGGCAUCAUGAAGGAAGUGAUUCUUUUGUGGCCUCUGACUUUGACCUUUCUACCAAUUAACCGAAGGGGAAUCAGUAAACCCUAGAUUGAGCUUCUUGCUACUGCUGCCAGGUAUCCAAAGAUGAUCCUCUUUCAACAGGACAUGGUGGAAUUUAAAGCGGCAUCACGGAGAAGAUCAGGGUCAGAUAAUUCAUUCCCUUAAAAAGUCUUUAUGACCUCAUAACACAUACUACUAAUUGGCAAUGUAAUGCCAUUAACUUAAUCUCCUUUAACGAGAGUGAUUCAAGACCUACUAUGAGAUAGGCAUUAAAUGAAUAUGCAAAUAUUCAUAAAAUGAAUAGGUCCCUGGGUCCCGAGGAGCUGACAGUCUAGUGGGAAACAUGUAUAAUUAUGGUACGUUACGAUGAGACUUGUCAUAAAAAUACGAAGUCUAAGAAAGCCUAGCACUUAAACUGGAUGCAGAAUUUGAAGUGGGUCUUGGAGGGUGAGC
rnacentral:lncRNA from 1 species